rfam:Populus trichocarpa isolate Nisqually-1 chromosome 15, whole genome shotgun sequence.
UGAUCAGUCUAGGGUAGAUCCUCAUCUAGAUGUGGCAGAUUCACACCUAACUGCUUAGAAUCACUUGUUAUUGCAAGUAUGACUACUUCAUUGACACUCAUAAAACAUAUUUGAAAUAAAAGGUAUAUCAAAUUAUGAAU